UCCACGCCGUAAACGAUGAAUACUAGGUGUCAGCAAGAGAUUGUUGGUGCCGCAGCUAACGCAUUAAGUAUUCCGCCUGGGGAGUACGCACGCAAGUGUGAAACUCAAAGGAAUUGACGGGGACCCGCACAAGUAGCGGAGCAUGUGGUUUAAUUCGAAGCAACGCGAAAAACCUUACCAGGUCUUGACAUCCUUAUGACCAUCAUUUAAUCGUGAUUUUCUCUUCGGAGACAUGAGUGACAGGUGGUGCAUGGUUGUCGUCAGCUCGUGUCGUGAGAUGUUGGGUUAAGUCCCGCAACGAGCGCAACCCUUGUCUUUAGUUGCCAUCAGGUUAAGCUGGGCACUCUAGAGAGACUGCCGUGGAUAACACGGAGGAAGGUGGGGAUGACGUCAAAUCAUCAUGCCCCUUA
rnacentral:rRNA from 1 species